AGCUAGGCUCAAGGAUUUCAAGGAGCAAAGGCCUUGGAGGUGGUCCAUCCUUGGUCUUAAGUCUAGAUCAAAAGGUAUAAGACUAACCUUCACUUUGUUCUUGAUUCUAAAAAUUGUUUUGAUACAUUAUAUAUAAACCUAUGAACCUUGAAGGGGAUUUGCAUGACUAUAGCUUUGAUAAUAUGUUAUAAAUGCUUCCGCUGCUUUCGUAUAUUAAAUUUUGAUUUGUAUAUGCAUGAUAGUCAUUAUGAAAUCCCAUGCUAGAAUCUCAUAAUUUUCCCUUCACUUAAACACUGACCAUGCAGAAUCACAACAAUUUCUGGCUGCCAAAGCUGCUUAUCUACGAUCCAAUUUUUACCAAAAACGAAAACCCAAUUCACAAUUUCCCCGAAUCUCAAAACCCAAUUCGAAUUUUCCCAAAACCCAUAGAGAUUCGCCACGAAAUUAAUGAACGUGCAACAGUGUAUUCUUCCUUUUGUGUGUCUUAAUGCAGGGGCAACGACGAACCCGUAAAUGCAACGUUUAUCGACGUCGAUGGAGAGGCAGAGCUUCUGGUG
rnacentral:lncRNA from 1 species